GUGCUGCAACUUUCUCGCUAUGGGGUGUGAAAAAACACCCUCCUGAGCUCUGCAAGUUUCAGCGCUGUAAAGUGCCAGUGCAAACAAGCCCUAAUAUACUACUACAGUCCGAGUGUUGGGUUCCUGUGAUGUGGUAUUUGUGCAAUGACCAAAGAAGUAACUCAAGACAGGUGGAGCGGUCAUACAAAAGGUGUUUGUGGAACAGGUGAUAUUAAACAUGCAAGUUAUCUUUAUUUCAAACCAUAUUAGGAGAAGAAUGCGCUUUCAGCAAAUAAUAAUAUUUCCAAUACAUAAAUGAGAGGAUUAUCUGUGGCAUAGGAGCUGUGCAUUUUUGUUGAAAGAAUAGUCACUCUUAAAAUACCGCUAAAUGGAGAUUUUUCUUUUUACACUGUUUGUUGCCUUUCACUGUAUUUCAGUUAAAUAGUUUGACACCUCCAGCAAUAGUACUGUUUCAUUGGAACUUAAAUUCCAGUUAAAGUUGGCAGAGACAGUGAAGGCUCAAAUUAUGGUGUUCCAGCAUUUUCAGGUUCCUAUUCAGUUCUGUUGUGGGGCAGUUCCUGUAAACUUGAUGUCUGUCAAGUUUGAUUCCAAGUUAAGAACAUUUUAUAGCAGUUUUCUUUCUCUUUAAUGGUUGCAACAAAAGUUGUUCCAGCUCUGUUAGCAAGCAUCCACUCUAUAAAAGUACUAUCCACUUGAAUCUACAAAGAGCACUUAAUGAGGUGAAGCGCUGUGUUUUAAUUUAUCAAGUCUUUGUUACCAAGAGACUAGAUAGCAUGAAACAGUGUGACUGUCAGCUAGGAGUCAGUUAAUUUAGUUAUUUAUAGGGCUGUCAAGUGAUUAAAAAAAUAGAUUCGGAAUUAAUUGUGCAAUUAAAAAAUUGUAUUCUAUUUAAAUAUUUUUGUAUGUUUUCUACAUUUUCAAA